UACAGAGACCUCAAGCGUUAUCCGGAUUUACUGGGCGUAAAGCGUCCGCAGGUGGCUCGUUCAGUCGUUGGUCAAAUCUCAGGGCUCAACUCUGGGACUGCCCGCGAUACUGGCGAGCUAGAGGACGGGAGAGGCAUGCGGAAUUACUGGUGUAGGGGUAAAAUCCGUUUAUAUCAGUAAGAACACCAAAGGCGAAGGCAGCAUGCUGGAACGUUCCUGACACUCAUGGACGAAAGCGUGGGGAGCGAAAAGG
rnacentral:misc_RNA from 1 species